GCCAGCUUAGCUCAGUUGGUAGAGCAACUGAUUCGUAAUCAGUAGGUCCGGAGUUCAAAUCUCCGAGCUGGCUCCA
rnacentral:tRNA from 2 species